AUGACCCUCGCAGUCGCCUCAGCAGUGCUGGGCGGCCACAGUGAGAGGCUCGGUGAGUGGGGACCUAUCCCGAACGUGAAGGACGCGCACAUCCAGGAGCUGGGAGGGUGGGCGGUGCAACAUGCGAGCCUGGCUAGCAACGGGCUGUGGUUUCGCCGGGUCACGCGCGGCGAGCAGCAGGUGGUCUCCGGCAUGAACUAUCGCCUCUUCGUCGAUGCGGAGGACGACUCCGGCAAGAACGCGUCGUACCUCGCUGAGGUCUACGAGCAGUCCUGGACCAAAACCCGCCAGCUCAAAUCCUUCAAGCCAACUGCGAACUGA
rnacentral:rRNA from 1 species